AAUCGGGAGCUGGGUCAGUGCUCGCCAGGCCACGUGGAGGCCCAGAGAGGGAGGGGUCCCAGCCAGCGCCACCCAGUACAGCAGCGGUUGGCUGGUGCCAGCCACCCAGGGGCUCCUGGCUUUUCUGCUGUCAUUGCUGAAGGAUACUUGACAAACAGGUGGGGCUUCCGACUGGAACUUUGGGAAAACAGAGGUCUGCCUUGGAGGUCCCAGAGGAAAGCCUCUAAUCGUGCAAAUACACAGUAGGCUUCUCUCUUCUGCGCAGAGCCCAGGCUGAAGUCGCCCAAAGCCUAAAUUCCCAGGUGUUCUGCGCACAUGUCCAUGGGGUGUGUCUUUUAGUUGUGUGCCUGUUGGUUCGGUCACUUCUCCUAGGGAAAGGGGAGGCCACUCAAGACACCUCUGUGAACCCGAAAAUGCUGUAAUGCACAAGCUAUGAGCUGCCAGUCCCUCUGGGGCCAUCCGAUGCACAUGCCUUCACCUGUAGCUGAGGAGCUGCUCUUCUGAGGUUCUGCCCUGAG